CUCUGGGAAGCCGUCCCUUAUCCUCCAGCACCCCGAGCAGAAGGCAGACCGGUAUUUUGUGUUAUACAAACCGCCCCCUAAAGACAACAUUCCCGCCCUAGUGGAGGAGUACCUGGAACGCGCCACCUUCGUAGCCAAUGACCUCGACUGGCUCCUGGCCUUGCCUCACGAUAAAUUCUGGUGCCAGGUGAUCUUUGACGAGACUCUACAGAAGUGCCUGGACUCCUACCUGCGCUAUGUCCCCCGCAAAUUCGACGAGGGGGUGGCCUCAGCCCCUGAGGUUGUUGACAUGCAGAAGCGCCUCCAUCGAAGUGUUUUUCUCACCUUCCUCCGCAUGUCCACUCACAAGGAAUCCAAAGAUCACUUCAUUUCCCCUUCUGCGUUUGGAGAAAUCCUCUACAAUAACUUCCUCUUUGACAUUCCAAAGAUCCUGGACCUCUGCGUGCUCUUUGGAAAAGGCAACUCACCACU
rnacentral:lncRNA from 1 species